UACGUAGGGUGCGAGCGUUAAUCGGAAUUACUGGGCGUAAAGCGUGCGCAGGCGGUUUUGCAAGCCGGAUGUGAAAUCCCCGGGCUCAACCUGGGAAUGGCAUUCGGGACUGCAAGGCUGGAGUGCGGCAGAGGAGACUGGAAUUCCUGGUGUAGCAGUGAAAUGCGUAGAUAUCGUCUGGAACGCCGAAGGUGAAAACAGCUCGCUGGGGCUGCGCUGACGCUGAGACACGAAAGCCAGGGGAGCGAACGGG
rnacentral:rRNA from 1 species